UCCAUGGAUGGAAUCACUACGCUCAGUAAAUAUUCCUCUGUGAUCAUCCUCUUUUUAAGCUCCCUCCACCUCCCUCUAUACGACUAGCCCAUCUGAAAAUAGAAACAACCUCACACAUAGAGAGAGGAUCAAUAAAAGAAGAACAACAUCAACAAAAAAAAUAUGAGUGAGUGUAAACGAUGCACUCUCACAAUUGUGCCUAUGGAAGAAGCAUCUUCAAGUGAACCCACCAUUUCCAAGAAACGGAAGACCGCGGCUACUGCUAAUUCUGCUUCCUUCCAGUUACGCUCUUCCGACACGCACCACUGGUUUCCCGACACUAUCGUGUCGCCGGAAGCUUCCGUCAAUUCCGCCGGCACCGUGGUUUCUGGUGAACCUUGCUCUGAUCGAUCGUGCUGUAGCUCCAGCCACGUUAAGGAGCUCCACACCGCGCCGUUAGAUCUGCAGACCAAGGGUUUCAAAACGGUACAUUCAACCAACCACAAUUUCAAAUCGUCCAGCUUGUUGAGUGAGUUUUCUGGAGACUCGGAAGAAUCGACGAUGUUUCCGGCGAAGUCUUCGGCGGAGGUGACCGAGAAACGAAAAGUCAAGGAGCCGCCUAAGGCGGAGAUCGAAGAGUUUUUCGCAAUGGCUGAAAAGUACGAGCAGAAGCGAUUCGUAGAGAAGUACAACUUUGAUAUUGUUAGAGAUACGCCGUUGGAGGGUCGCUACCAGUGGGUUCGUUUACAUUGAAUGCUUUGAAUGAGAGAGAGAGAGAGAGAGUUAUUUUAAUUUUAGAGAGAGAUUAAUCGAGGUAGACGGUUAAGGGGAGAAGAGAGAGUGACUUUAUUAUCGAGCUGGCCAUUAGACACUGGUGAUUGGUGAUUGGGGAGGUAGAUAACCUGACACAAGGUAAAACGAAAACGAGCGUGCGACUUCUGGUUGCUCCGGAGAGACGGCGAUAGUGCUGGUAGUGGUGGGUUAGUUUUUGUAUAGCUAACUGCUUUCUCUUUUUUCUAACAAGAAGCUGGUUUUUCUGCUACUCCGCACUCGAAUAGAAGUAGUACAAGCGUAGAACCUUCCUGUGAGACGAUGAAGAAAAAAAAAAUCAAUUUGGGUUCUGUGGGAAAUAUACAAUUAGAAAACAAAAAUUCCCGCAUUGAAUGGGUGAUCUAGAAUUUGGUCAUUUGGAAUAUCCUCUCCAUCCCGAGCUAUGAUGAUUCCCCUAUUUUUUGUGGGGACCACGUGUGCCUGGUUCCUAAGAAAUGACUGCACAGACUAAUUAAAGUCUUCUACAUCUCAUAUGCGGCUUUAUGAUUGAAUUUCAAGGUAUAUGCUUUGCAUUACCAAAAUACACAAAAUUAACAACCACUUACAAUGACCACCGAACUUACAACCUACCCUUUUAAUAAACAAAAGGGAGUAAUGACUCUUCAAAUCCAUGCACCUACCCUACAUGUCUAAAUUUAUGGAUUUGCUCGGUUAAUAAUGGAAACCAUGUUCUCCUUUUCCCAUAUUUUUUGUUAGAAUCAUUUUUUUUAAAUGAAUAGAUACCCAUGUAAGUGAAUCUGGUCCAUUUGUGAAUGCUAUUGUCUUUUUGGUGAUGAUCUUCAAUUAUUGAAGUUGCUAAAUAUGUAUAUUGAUGAUUAAAAGAGAUAAAAAGCAGUGAGGAGGUAUUACAUGGGUUUAAUUGAAAGUGAAGGGCUAUCGGUUCACAUGAAAAUGUUGGUGAUUAUGUACCAAUGAAGCAAAAUUGGCAAGUGGUGCUUCACUACAUAUUGAUUACACAACGUAUCUCAUAGUAAGCUCUAUAUAAUGGUUUGAGGAAAUAGAUAGGCAAAAAGUAAAGUAGCUUUUAAUCUUAAUUUUGAAUGUUUCCUUUUCUCUUUUACUUGUUGCUUAACGGUUGUUGAGUAAAGGAUACAUAGAGGUGACAUAAUAUUCGUUAUGAAGGAGUGAUGACAGAAUGAAUUGUAGAAACGAAAAGAAAGAGGGUCCAUAGGUGCCGUGUACAAUGCAAUGAUUACACACGUGUCAAAAACGGCAGCAGCAGCAGCAGCACCCUUAUCCAUGUCAUCAUGGAUCCAAAUGUGCACUUUCCAGCCUUCCACAGUCCAUUUUCCUUUUUCUAUAUGAUGAACCAAAAAUCGAUAUAAGAUAAAUGAUGGAAGUAGAAGACUUGCACGUGGUGUGGUGCAUUAAUAUCGCCAGGUUUAAUUUGCUUCGGAUCUGCUGCCAUUUUCAAACAGAGUGCACACCACGCAAAAACAGAUAUGCAGGAUUUUUAACGUGCCAUGUUAAAUUUCGCAAAAUCAGAUAUGCAGGACUUUAAUCAAAUUUAUUAUUAUUUGUCAGCUCAGGUACUGUAUAUUUAAUUUACUACCAU